rnacentral:rRNA from 1 species
AGCGAACGCUGGCGGCGUGCCUAACACAUGCAAGUCGAACGCGAAUGGGGGGGCAACCCCCCUAGUAGAGUGGCGCACGGGUGAGUAACGCGUGGGUAAUCUGCCCUCGAAUGGGGAAUAACCCCGCGAAAGCGGGGCUAAUACCGCAUAACAUCUUUUUCUCCUCGGAGCGGAAGAUCAAAGGUGACCUCUGCUUUCAAGUUGCCGUUUGAGGAGGAGCCCGCGUCCCAUUAGCUAGUUGGUAGGGUAACGGCCUACCAAGGCUACGAUGGGUAGCCGGCCUGAGAGGGUGACCGGCCACACUGGAACUGAGACACGGUCCAGACUCCUACGGGAGGCAGCAGUGAGGAAUAUUGCGCAAUGGGCGAAAGCCUGACGCAGCGACGCCGCGUGGAGGAUGAAGGCCUUCGGGUCGUAAACUCCUGUCGAGGGGGACGAAAUGAUGCUCUGUUAAUACCAGGGCGUCUUGACGGUACCCCUGGAGGAAGCCCCGGCUAACUCCGUGCCAGCAGCCGCCGUAAUAC